UUUUGUGUUUGGAGGGGGCUCUGUUGUUGAGCUUGCGACUUGGCUAUGGGGACCAACGCCAUGGGCGCGGCACGACAGGACCGCGCUGCGCAGGUCGCAUCGCACCACACUCGUCUGCAGAAAUCCGUCCUCGCUUGGGAUUAUAUUCGCAUCGUCACAGAAGAUAAGGCCAACCAGAAGAAGAGGAAGGCAUCAGAUUUAGCUAAAGGGUCUGCACUGCGUAAUGUUCCUGAUAAAUUUAAGGACCUCGAUGAAUAUCUAGAGGUUUUUGAGUCUCUACUUCUCGAGGAAUGUCGUGCGCAAAUUCUGCGUGGGGAUGAAGAAGAAGGUGCAAGACAAUGCCAUAUGGUGGCAGUGAUUCAAUGCGAGAGAGUCAACGAAUUUCACUUCGUAAAACUCGCCAUUGAUGCUGGGGAAUGUCAAGAGUACUAUGAGAACGAUCUGGUGCUUUUAAGCAAAGAGCAGCUAGGGCAAGGGAAGUUGCCGAGUACGUAUGCUCUUGCAAAUGUGGAAAGUCGGGAGGGCCAACAAGCUUUACGGAUACGCAUGUAUCUGGAUAAGGAAGCUGAGACGGGGAUCUCAAUUGAGAAUGACGCUUCAGAUAAAGUGCUCGCAUCUCUUUCAGGCCCGAAAACUGCCUGGUGGAUCCUUAAGCUAUGCAACAUGUCAACGAUAUCACGAGAGUAUACCUCGCUUCGAUCAGUAGGCACGCUACCAUUCGUUAAGACCAUUCUUUCUGCUAGUCUCGUUGAAUCUGAUGACCCCGAAUCAGCAAAAGAUUCAGGUCAAUGGACCAUUCCUCCUUCGUUGUUGGAUCACUUAAAUCAUACUCAUAAUGUAUCCCAGCUUCAGGCUAUCCAGGCUGGUUGUUCACGUGAUCCUUUGGUCCUUAUCCAGGGGCCACCUGGAACAGGCAAGACACAAACUAUCCUUGGCCUUCUCAGCGUUGUUUUGCACUCCACACCGGUUAGACAGCCUUUCAAGAAUGGUGAUGUAUCUAUCCAACACAAGCUGGAACUCACAUCUACGAAGAGGAUGGAUCACUGGAUAAAGGCUUCACCGUGGCUAAAUGAAAGUGUGAACCCUCGAGAUCUCAUCAUGCCCAUGGACGGUGAUGAUGGGUUCUUUCCCACCUCUACCAAUCAGUUUCGGCCAGAGAGUAUUGCAGCUAAGCGGAAGCAUCGCAAACACGUGUUAGUGUGUGCUCCAUCGAAUUCAGCUUUGGAUGAAAUAGUGUUGCGUCUAUUGAACACAGGACUUCGGGAUGAAAAUGGACAAGCUUAUACACCAAACGUAGUCAGAGUGGGCCUUAAUGCACAUCAUUCAGUGUCUGCUGUUACCAUGGACACUCUAGUCAAUCAACGUUUGAGCGGUGUGCAAAAGUCAGUUGUAUCAGCUGGUCCCAAGGCUAGUGCUGGAAUGGAACGUGACCGUUGUCGAAUUUCCAUAUUAGACGAAGCGGCCAUUGUAUGUUCUACGUUGAGCUUCAGUGGCGCAGGCGUUUUCUUGCGAAUGAAUCGUGGCUUUGAUGUUGUUAUCAUUGAUGAGGCAGCCCAGGCGGUGGAGCCAUCAACACUUGUACCGCUUGUUCAUGGUUGUCGGCAAGUGUUUCUGGUUGGAGAUCCACUGCAACUGCCAGCCACUGUUUUAUCCACUAAAGCAGUUUCUCAUGGGUAUGGGAUGAGCAUGUUUAAGCGAUUGCAGAAGGCUGGAUAUCCUGUAAAAAUGCUGAAAACGCAGUAUCGUAUGCAUCCCCUGAUCCGCGCUUUUCCAUCAAAAGAAUUUUAUGAGGGGGCAUUAGAGGAUGGUGAUGACGUGGAAAGAGUGACAAGUCGUCCGUGGCACGAACACCGAUGUUUUGGGCCUUACACUUUUUUCGACAUAGAUGGUGAAGAGAGUCAACCUCCAGGAAGUGGGUCCUGGGUCAACAAAGAUGAAGUUGAGUUUGUUCUAGUAUUGUAUAGGCAUCUGGUCGCCUUAUAUCCAGAAUUGAAAGGUUCUCCUACUGUUGCUGUGAUAUCUCCAUACAAGCUCCAAGUCAAAUUACUUCGCCAACGCUUUACUGAGGUCCUUGGAAAAGAAACUGCUCGUCUUGUUGAUAUCAACACUGUUGAUGGGUUUCAGGGAAGAGAAAAAGAUAUCGCUAUCUUUUCUUGUGUUCGAGCUACAGAAGGAAAAAGCAUAGGGUUUGUUUCUGAUUUUAGACGUAUGAACGUGGGAUUAACCCGAGCUAGGGCAUCUAUGCUGGUUGUAGGAUGUGCAAAAGCUUUAAAGAUUGAUAAGCACUGGAGAAAUCUUGUAACCAGUUCAAUUGAGCGGCAUCGUCUUUACAAGGUGACAAAGCCUUUCCAUGCUUUAUUCAACGAUCAAAGUUUAGAGAAUAUGAAGAAACUUGCGGAGCAAUACGAAGAAGAGGAAGCUAAACGAAAGCUGGCGGAACCCGACACCCCAGCUGUGAUCACUGAUGUAGAAGACACGAACAUGGAUGAACUUCUAGAUGCUUAUGCAGAUGAAGACGUAGAUGAGAUUGCUGAAAAUUUUGGAGAUGUUGACGAGGAUGUAGAAGAUAUUUAAAGGAAACAUGCUUAUUUGCUGAAGUAGUUCUCGACACACUGUGGGUGUAAAGUCGCAGUGGAUAAUGCACUGUAAAACUUCUAGGUGCCAUGCAUUGGUUGGGCUCCAAGACUAAAAAUUUCUCACAUUUAACGUGUAAUCGAUUUCGCAGAACAGGUACCUGGGUACCUACUCGGCUGCGGCUAUCUGUAAUGGAGUUAAUGGAGUAAGCUUGGCGCCAUCGAACUCGUGCGGCGGGAUAGUGCAGAAAUUGGUGUACUGAGCAGCCCUCUCAAUCCACACAUUUGUACAUUGUUGUCUCUAGUAAGCUCUCGACAUUCUCAUAGAUUUGAUACCAAUUUACUUAACUUUGUUUCCAAAUUUCUUCAAAAUCAACAUAAACGUAGAGAUGUGGGGACUGUUGAAGGCACCACUUUCAUUGCACCUUCGAGGUGUAUUUAGAACAGUGUGAUCUAUUUUCUGUUGUAGUACUCAUAUCAACUAAUACUGCAUGUUAACGAAAGUGAGUGCUCCCUCAAGUUCUUGA